rnacentral:tRNA from 1 species
AUUGGUAAAAUAGUUUAAUAAAGAACGAUAGAUUGUGGUUCUAUAGGAGAGGCGUUAACCUAAUCUUUUACCAA